UCGAGUUUCGCGAUAUUCGACGUAUACCUAGAGGGACAACCACCCUUGCCACCCCCGUCGUUCACUCGAACGCGAAUGUGCGAGCGGUCGGGCUUCUAUAACGUACGGCGAGAGUAUGCGGAGGGAGCGAGAGACAGAUUAAUGUGACCCCGUCACCGUUCGAACAAAGCUUCGCACAAUGGCCGCACACACCGGGGACAGUGGACGGUUGCAACGACGCUCGCAACGACCUUCGCUUACGGAUGGCUGGGAUGGUAGCUUUGCUGGGAGGAUCGGACGAAUGGCACUCGGCUGAUACCAAGCGGACAAACCCAAGCUGGAUGCUAGAAUCACCUCUUAAGAAUACACAUGCCCCAGAAGGACGAACGAACGAAAUGGUAGAAUUAGUAUUCUCUUAAGAAAAUAAAAAUGACCAAUGGACGAUAAUGAAUGGACAUUUGGAUUAGAAUUGACAGGUUUGUAUAUCAUGAAAUAAAUCGAUGAAUAUCGGAACGAUUUUGAGCUAUCCGACAAAUCGACAGAGAAAGAUACUCGAUAAGGGGAUACACGGAGUUUCCAUUCGUCUUACCUUAGCGAAUCGGAGGUCUGCCGGCUGUCAGGAUAAAGGAUGUUUAGGACAGUUGGCUGAGUUCGACGAUCGAUGAACCUCUUCUUCCUGUCAAAACACCACAUACAACGGUUACCGUUCCUUUUAAGAGAUAUGGACAACUCUCGAGGGAAGAAAUUGUAGGACGAUGAAUCAAGAGUGAAAAGGUGUCGAACGAUGGCUGUCGGCCAUUAUUGUCGUUCCUUUUUCGACUAUAAUACGUCUAUAUUUUCGUUAUUGCAAUGGUCGAAGAAAAGACAUUUAGUAAUUGUUUUCGCGUUAUCCGUUUGUUUGAAGUUCUGAAAGGACAACGAAAAGAGAAAAGGAAGAAAGAUAGAACGUCCCUCUGGCUCGAUUUUACGCAAGAAGAACGAACGAAGCGUAGCUCUGCUUUCUCGAGGAUAAAAGAAGCCGAUAUGGUCGAUAUACGAGCGUAACUCUUAUCGCGAAGAAGCCGGCGCGUGGAAGAAGAAACAUCCCUCGUAAAUAUAAAAGGUAUAAAAGCUACCCUUUUGAUGGAGUGCCUUCUUAAGGGUCAAACUGGUAUCGGCCAGUACGUUCACCGCAAGAUGACCAAGAGGAUCGAGUAGAAAGGUCAACGGAUAUGCGGAGAGUAGGCCUUCGAAUCGUGCUUAACCACCAUUAUUUUACGAUCUUCGUAUUCUGUUUAAAAUCUAUCCCAUAAAGUACAAAGCACACUGUCAUUCGAUUUAGCGCGUAUCUCCGAGACGUGGAAUUAAUUUUAUACACGAUAUAAGUAAUCGAUACGGUGUAUUGCACAAAGCACAUAAUUUUAUCCAGGAUAAUUUAUAUAUAAGACCGUAGGGUUUUAUUAUAAAAUUUUCUUUAGAAAAGUUCGACGUAUAUAAAUUGUAACGAUCGAGAAGAGUUUUUAUUUAAGGGUGACACAAGUUCGCUGAACCGCGUAUCUAUAAUAAAAUACUUCGUAAUUCGAUAUGUUUUUUCGAAUUGUUAACAAACGACAUCGAACAUGAAUAAGAAAUACCGAUUGGAAAUUCGAGGAUGGUAGAGCCGAUAUCGUUUUCAUUUUCACCCCCUGGCAAUAUAGAAAGCUAUUUGUCUCCGUAGACGAUUCGAACGGAUACGAUGCGAUGAUAGAAAGCAUCAUCGAAAUUCAGAAGAAAGCGUCGCAAGAUAUUCCCAUUUCCUACGCGCCAUUCUGGUCAUAUGGUAUCGCGUGUCACCCUGUUUGCUUAAGGAUAUCAACGAGAAACGCAGCAGUAGCUCUUGCUCGCCAGCUAGGGGUGAAUAACUUAUGUUUACCCGCAUGAAUUCUCAUAUUCAGGGUGAUUUAAAGUUGCAACUUUUCACGGCACUAAGCGAUAACAAGCUUGAAUAGACCUGUCAUUUAAACGGCGGUCUCUUAAAAAAUCACUUUUCAAGAUUUCACUUUCUCUUUCUUUCACAUACACCGAUAUAUCCAAAUAUUUGAAAAAAGGAAAAUAUAUCAGAAUUUUAAGUGCGAACUCGUGCUCGUUCGUUUAGAUUCUAAACAUAUUUAAAUAUCCGAGGGAAAUGGACGUCUUUUAAAUCACUCCUGAUAUAAUUAUACAUGGCAAGGAACGAUGGUGACUAUUUAUGGGAAAUGUAUGUUGGGAAAGGAUAUUAAAUAAAAAUAAUUUCAAUAAACCGCAUAGUCGGAGUAUUCACGAACGAGCAAACGGUAGAGAGUGCGUAUAAGCCGGAGGAUAUAAAAGGUUAGCAUAGCUAAUGUAUACGGUGGAGCGAGCAGUCAACUCGAGUCUCGUCAUAUCCGUUGCACUUUUACAUAGUCGAUCUUCAAGACCGUAGAUGAUGUAUUUUGUUAAUGCACCGUAUGCGUCAUAGAAACGAUAUGCGAAUGUAUAUCAAGGGAGACAUACCACUGAGACGUUAUAUUUUUGGAAAGUAACCAUCCAGCCACAUCUAGUGCGUCGGCCAUAAAGCCGUUUUAUUUCUUCGGGGGCGGUUUUAAAAUUCCACUACUGAAAUGGCACGUGUGUGAGGGUAGGAAAAGGAGUAGGAGGAGGAAGAGAAAAAGAGAG